UACGGAGGGGGUUAGCGUUGUUCGGAAUGACUGGGCGUAAAGCGUGCGUAGGCGGAUCAGGAAGUUGGGGGUGAAAUCCCGGGGCUCAACCCCGGAAUGGCCUUCAAAACUCCUGGUCUUGAGUUCGAGAGAGGUGAGUGGAAUUCCGAGUGUAGAGGUGAAAUUCGUAGAUAUUCGGAGGAACACCAGUGGCGAAGGCGGCUCACUGGCUCGACACUGACGCUGAGGUGCGAAAGCGUGGGGAGCAAACAGG
rnacentral:rRNA from 1 species